GCGGUUGUGGUGGAAUGGCAGACACGCCAUCUUGAGGGGGUGGUGAGCGUACGCUCGUGAGGGUUCAAGUCCCUCCAACCGCACCA
rnacentral:tRNA from 32 species